AGAAAGAAAGGAAGAAACGCAUAUGUAGCAGAUGUGGUGAACUCGGGCAUUAUAGAACUAGCUGUAAAGUUAACUUGCAAAGCUAAACAUAUGCACGGGUGGUGGAUGUAUUGGUUUGUUCACAAAGUCAUAUCUCAUGAUUAAUCGCUACCACUAACACAGGAAAGAGCACAAUCAGCUCAGGUUCAUCCACAACUCUGCCUUGG